AUUCAACCCGCGAUUCUUUUUAGUGGAGAGGCGGUCGAGCGGGAAGGACUGGGGCGUCGCCCACGACGCAGACGAGACCGGCGGCGGCCUUGCGGCGGCUUGCGGUGGCGCGGUCGACGAGGACCUGCCGGAUCUCGCCGGAUCUGGUGGGAAAUGGCACGCAGGCGACGGAUCUGGGAGGAAAGCGGCCCGAGCUUGGAGCACGAGGCUUGGCGUGGGAGGACGGAAGGAAGGAGAUGGGAGGCCGGAGGGAGAGAGAAGGGAGUGGUGAGGUGCGGCGGUGGUCCUGCUGCUGCUCCUCGCCGGCCAUCGGCACGAGGUAGGGCUCGGGUGCGCGGAGGCGUCGACAUCGUCGAGUGGAUCGAGCAAGUGGGCUAAGUUCCGCCGUCGCCUUCAUCGGCCUUCGUCCAUUCCCCUCGCUAAACAGAUCUUCUCCUGCUAGCUAGGGUUCCCCGCCGCAGGCGCACCUCGGCAGCCAUCGAGGCGACCACUGCCGCCUACAGGCGGAACGAGGCGGAGGAGAACCUCCUGGUACGGCUUAGCAGCGCGGAGGCGACGUGAGGAGGAGACGCCAAGGUGCCGGUGGUGCGCCCGCUGCUGGUGGUGCUCAGCGAGGACGAGUGCCGGAAGGGGCUAAGCGCCAAUGUCUGGUAAUAAUUUUAUCUUCUUUCAGAUGUAGGAAUUGAUACGGAUGAACUUAAAGGUAGAAUAUCUAAUCUUAAUCUUGCGGUUUUCAAGAAGGCGCCCAGAAAAUCAAUUGACACCAUCCCUUCUCUGAUUAUGCACACAGAUCAGGAGAGACAUAUUGGCCGGGACAAUCUUUAAACAAUGAUGAAGCCCUCUCCCGGGUCAGAAAUUGAACACAUAAUUCUUCUUUUAGACAGUGAAUAAAAUUUGCCUAUUGAUGAUGUGAUUGGUGAGGAAGGUUUGUCUUCAGGGAAGGAGAAUGAAGGAUUUACUGCUUCAGAUCUGUUGAAAGAUCUCUCUGUACAAAGAAGGCCAUUUGAAGAUAGACAUGUGUCCUUGAAACAGCAAACACGUAGUGAAAGUAGUGCCUCCUAUAGGAAGUCAAUUUUUAGAGAAAUAGAAAUUGUUGUGAAAACACUCAGUUGGUGUGGAGGUGAUAUAUAUGGAGUUUGCUCAGAAACUGCUUCAGCUAUCAAACAUGGAAAUUUCUCUGAGCAAGCCUUGUUUGAUGUUGUUAUCGAUGAAGCUACAUAGACUCUUGAGCCUGCAACUUUGAUUCCACUUCAGCUACAAAAGUCAAAAGUAACAAAGUGCAGAAUGGUAGUGUGGUCUCUCUUAAUAUAUGAAGCAAACAUUACAGUGCUAGCUCGUACUACUUAGUAACAUAUCCUUUUAAGGUUGGUGAUCCAAAGCAGCUACCUGCUACCGCGAUGUCUGGGUAGGCAGCCUGUGAAUGUAUGGUCUUCCAACAGUAAACAGGAACCCGGACAUGGAUUGGUGACAAGCUUCCCUCACACAUUUAUUUGGAGUUUGUGCAAUACACACAACUUGGAUCUAUUGAAUCAGCCAGUAGGUGGAGAUCGUAAUUAGAAUCAGGGCAUUUCUAUGAAAGUCUAUAUAUCACAGUUAACUACAGGGAGGAAACAAAUGAGAUAUUCCCAUUCACAAGUGUUUAUGCUGAACCCAGACUUUUCACACCAACCAGUUGCAAUCAUGAACGAGCAGCAAAUGUUUGCACUGAACUACUGGGGUAAGGCAGUGAAAUACUUUUUGCUCGCGGGAGUGAAAGUUUGGAACAGAGAAAGAACAGACAACAAAGUGAAUGACACUAUUCUAAUGGCAGAAUGAGGAUGGGGCAUUCGGUGAUCCAACAUCUGUUCUAUCAUCAGGGAUGAUGGCAUUCUUUAGCAAUACUAAGCCGCUUGAUAAAUCAUGGCAUGAGAUGGGCCUUGGGUAUAAUCCAAGCAUCGACCCUGGAUGAUCCGUGGUGAUGCAAUUUAAUGGAAACAUGAACCAUGGCUUGAUGUUGCUUUCAACCAGUACAAGGCUAUGGAGAAAGUAUGUAGAUACUGAAAAGGAAUUCCUGACACUAUGUAACUUUGGUCUCUCAAGUAAUUGAAGAAAUUCUCCAAGAAUAAGGCAACCAUCAAUAUAUUUGUUCUUUUA